GUAUUACGAGGACAGUGCCAUUGCACGAGACCCUUCCGAUAGUGGUCAGAAACUUAGCUCACAGCAAGACUGUAAGCGUUUUCAGGAAAUGCUUAGGAAGAUAAUCAAGUGUGGGAAGUAUAGCUCGUGAAUGAGGUAGAAAAGGGAACUAUGUUGAAGUAAGUUCAUUGCUUAGCCAAGGUAGGGGUUUAAGUUUUGGACAUCAAAGAUAGUGGAGUUGUUAUCUAGAAUAAGAAAUGUUCCUCCUUAGUAGCCGAAGUGAAGGAGAAACGGUUUGUUGAAGGAAGGAAUUCACAAACACAAGACUAU
rnacentral:lncRNA from 1 species